UCUGGUGGAUCUUGCAGACACCCCUCCAUAAAGCAAGAGAAGACCAUUGAGUUCUCAUUUAAGUCUUUGACUCUGUUGGUUGUUGGUUGCUUUUCUUUUCUUUUUUCAGAAUUUCUAUAUAAAGCCCAGUGCAGCGCGCAUGCGCAGUUACUAGUUGCUAUAGCUCCAGAACUGAGAGUCUAAAAAUUAAAGCAGGGAAACUUCAGAGGAUACCAUGUACGCCACUACUACGUAUACCAGGGAACAAAGGCUCAAAGAGGAUGAAACAGAGGAUGGUGUCAUGACCAGGAUAGCAAGUGCUGCAGCUGCAGCCUAGGAUUCUACUAGAGAGACUUGAGACUUGAGUCAAAGUAGUCAGAAAUAAGGAGGGACCAAGAGUGGCUUCUUAUUAUAAGGCUCGAAAUAUUGGUUGUCAGAGAUAACGAAAAGAACGAUCCUUCUACGUGUGCACUGGGAGAGGAAAAAGAGACAGAAGAUAUUAUGUUAUGUUAUGGCAUACAAAUGUUCGUGGCCAUAGCAUGUACGUUUUAAGUUUCAUUUGAUGGAUAUGUAAAUUUUGACUCACUUUAUAACUAUUAUUAAAUUUUAAUGGAUAUUUCACAAUGCUCAAUCUUUGAAAUUCUAAUUUGUAUCCAUGAAUUUCCCAUGAAAACUGCUUUUCAUUUAAGGACUGGGACCAACAUAAAAAAGACAUUUAUAAGAGGCACUUCAACCUAUAAUAUACCAAUAUACCCGCUGGUAGCUAAACCACACAAAACAUAAUCGUGGGCGUGGCUGCGUUUUAGCUGAUCCAGCAAUUAUUGCUGGUCCCAGUCCUUAACCUACCUGAGAUUUUCUAUCUGUAGAUAUGUUCGAGGGAACGCUACGAAGUACUGCAACGCCUCAAACGUCAAUUAUUGAUUUCCGGGCACUUCCGUAUAGCAGAUUUCUGGAGAAGACGAGUUAGUUAGAUGAAGGCUAGGCAUUCUAGGACUCGUAAAAUGAUUUGUCAAAUUAACAAAAAAUAUAUGUACCAGUAGCGAAAAUGAAAUAACAUAAUAAUUGUUUGUUGUUUAAACAUAGAAUUCAAUUAACAAAGAUAGGUAUUGUUCCCCAGUUAUAUUAACAAUCAUAUGUCAGUUUAUUCUAUGGCUUUGUUGAUCUGACAGAUUAGUGAUAUUGUUAAAUUAACAAAAACAGGCACGUGUUGUGUUAUAUUAACAAAGGCAGGGGUGUACAUUCUACAUAGUGGUGUUAAUCCAACAGGUCCAACAGGUUGAUGUAAUGUCGUCAUGAAUACUGGUCUGUCCUUUCAACGUAAUUAUUUUAUUUUAACGAGUAAUGUUUUUUAACGUCAAUUUAAAACACGUACAAAGUGUUGUUAAUCCAACAGGUUGAUGUAAUGUCAUCACAAAUACUGGUCUGUCCUUUUAACGUAAUUAUUUUGUUUUAUUUAAUUUAAUUUUAAAAAAUACAUGCAACAAUAGUAGAAAAAUAUACAUCAUAUAUACACAUUAUUUUAUAAACAGUACUCAGUAAUCUUCCAUAUUAAUUGCCGCAGUUUCUUGUUGGUACAGUUGACUUAGACCACUGAUGUGCGUGGCCACCAUCGUUCCCCACUUAUAACCGGACACCUUGAUGCUGCCAGCCACCUUAGAGACAAGAAAGGUAAGCAAGUCUUUGGCUUUUGUGUGACAUAGUGUGACGCUACGAGAAAGUAAGUUGCUACCAUAAGAUUAUCGGUCUUCAGAGUAAGAGUUUGUGCUGAUCGUCAUCAUCAUCGUCAGUAAUUACCACAAUGUGUGGCUGAUUGUCAGCAGCUUCAGAUGGAGCUGUCCCAAUAAAAACUUACAGGCACAAAUUUCAUCACGAAUGGUAUAUCACCGUCAGGUUUUUUUUAUCUUUGUUGGCACCAUUAGGAGAGACAAACAAACACCUUAAUGCUGUCAAAACUACUUUGUCUGUGUGGGGAGUAUUUCAGUCAUACAUUAUAAAUACACACCUGCUGGAUCGUCAUCUACAGCGACUUGAAUGGGAGCCCACUUUAACAAACAUUCUUCGAAAUUAUCUCUAAGCUCAUCCUUCUGGGAUAUCAGACUGAAUUCUUGAUCAACCUAUAUGUACAUUAUUUUGUAAUUGCAAAUUAAAUAUAGUAAGGUGCAUAAAAAAAACUAUGUCGACAAUCUAGUCACCUUAAUUACUACACCUUAAUCACCUUUUUAGAAGAGGAUAAUUAUUGUUCCAAAAUUGUUUUAAGGGGAGGACACUCAGUUCUGAUCCAUUCAGUACGCGUCAGUAGUGUACGAGCCAUUAGCUCCUUCAACUGCUGGUAAUUCUGUUUUCCAGCUUUUUCUGUUUCUUCUUGACAUUUCGUUCAACAGAUGUUUCAUCAUCGGGGAUAAUAGGAUACUGAUGCUUCUCUACUCUGGGGUUUUUCUUCGGUUUUUUGGCCGGACUACAUGUAGGUUGCUCUGAUACUUUCCGAUUGAACCACUUCCAAGAGUUCUGCACAUGAAUUUUUGUAAUAUUUAGACUCCUAAUCUAUACAUGCCCCUAGUAUUUCCAUCUGUCUUUAAGAAAAUCAUGUUUGUGUACCAAUGAUUUUGCAACGAUUAAGCAUGAAGGCUUUUGGUCAUACGUCAUUAACAUUGUCGUUAACGUCUGUACCAUAUAUUUCCUGUCUGCAUCUAGCAACUUCUUGAGAGACAAAUUAUGUUCAGUACUGUGUACUGGCACGAAACGUUGGGAGGGGGAACGGAUUAGGUAUGGCCUCCUAAUGUGAACAAAGAAAACAUGGGUCGCCGAGGGCUGGACUUUAUUGAUCCGUCUGGUUGGUGGACAUCAUAUCCGGGCGCCAUAAAAAUGGUAAAACUGAGUUGCGAGUUGCACUUUAUAAAAAAUUUGGCGGUGUGGCUGCACUUGUAUGUAUUCCAGAAAUUGUAAAGUUGUAUAUUUCACUGUAGCUCCACCCCUGAAAGUCCUGAAAGUCACAUGACUUUAAAAACACGUUCAACAUGUUCCUUCAUUAUAAGACUACAUUAUUGCAAAGUUCCAAAAGAUAUAUUCACAUAUACCAAUAUAUCCCAAUAACCUUAACGACACUGGUGCCCGAUAUCAAUCCAUGUGUGAAAUUAUAAAAAAACUGUGCGCUUGAUCAGCAUGUCAAAAAGACAGCAACGUGCUGGACCUCGUACUACUCAGGUAAGGUUAAGGCAGCUUUUUUUGCAAAACACCAUUAAGUAUUAGCCAUAUAUUGCACUGGAGCAAUAGGCAUGUUGCACGAUGCACGAGUGCACGAGGGCGCCUGCAAUAACUAACUUGUUACCCAAUGACGUUGACAUGUGUACAUGUGUUUUGAAGGAAUUUAGUGUAUUCAUUAGUAUUCAUAUUCAUUAGUAUUCAUUAGUUUUGCUGAAUUCCAUGUUCCCACUAGUACCUAUAAAAGGGACCAAAUGAGUUAUAGGGUGGGCAUAAGUAGUGGGUGGGCAUAAGUAUUGGGUGGGCAUAAGUCCCAAAUGGAUAUCUCUUAACCGCCAAUAACGCCUAUUGGCGUCACUCAGGUAAGUAUAUAUGCAGUCAAAAACUCAUACUAUGUUUUUGCAAUACCUGCUUGAAUAUGCAGCUAAAUUAUUGGCAUAAACAAACACUUUCAAAAAUUAUAUAGAACUCUAGACCAGUGAGGAGGUGCUGCAAGAAAUUCUGGACAAUGGGGACCUGCAGAGAUUGACAUAGAAGAUCUAACAGCUGAGUACAGCAAAAUAGACAGAGACGUGCCAGUCAUGGAGGGCAGUGAUGAUGAAUUUUCUGAUCAAUAACAGUUUAGAGAGGAGUUACAUUACUCCAACCAACAAAUAAAAUAGCUUCACUCAAUGCAUGGACUAACAACAAUAAUUACAACAAUAAUUAUUAGCAAAAAUGUAGAUCUGGACAGGACAUGACACUGAGGAAUUCGAAUACUGCUGACCACCACUGUUGUGACAGUCCUACCACGAACGUCAACCUUCCUGUACAAAAGGUGAAGGGGCACUGGGCAGUGACAGCAAGUACUCACGGAAGUACUCACGGACAGCAGUAGCCACAGACACAGACACUUUUACCUAUUGUUACGCAAAGAAUUAUAUUAUUGUUAUACUUGAUAGUCAAAAAAAUGUUUUCAAGGCUCAAAGAAUGAAAGGAGAGGCUAUUACUUUACUAUUUCAAAAAACACUAUAGGUUAGUAGUCAACACACAUAAUAUGUACCCUGGCUCACCUCGCUGCUACUGCCACUGUUCCUCUGUUCACGUUCACUGUACAUGUACAUAUGUGGCCCCAUCUCUGAUUAUUGGAUCCAGCCACACCUAAACGUAGUGUAUGUACGUACACAAAGAAGGCUAAUCAAUGCUUUUCAGCACUAAAAAUUCUAGAUACAACUACUAUCUAUCAUGUACAGUCAGUACUAACCAUAAAGCUUCUAGCGAUUCUACAUACAAUGUAGGCAUGCAAAACAGUACUGUAUGCAACUACAACCAAUUGAAUUUUUAAUAUUUUAAUCUUACGGCCUGUCUAUAAUAGGUGUAAUAGGUGAUGCAGGCCCUAAAGAAGACUCUAAACAUUCAGUAGAGUUAACACAUACAGCUUAGGAAGCUUGUUAUAGCUUGUACUCACUUUUUUGCCACUGCCAGUGCUGCCUCUGAUAGCAUCAUCUGUCCGCACAAACUUUCUUAUAAGUUAGCCUUGCAC